AUGCUGAUUCUUUCUCGGGGUUCGUUAGAUCUGUAACUUCUGAAUGACAUUACGCAGAAUUCGAUCCAGGUUUCAUAUUUCGUUCGUUCAGGAAAUGCUCCUACAGUCAUGGUGUUUUUUCUUCAGAUUUCUGUCCCUACAAUCUGAUAUCUUAAAUCAGUUAUUUUGCUUAGGUCCUUGGAAAAAUAAACGCUGUCUUAGGUUCGUUACCCCUGUUUAAAGUUUGUUUGCUUUGAUGCUUGCUAGAUAUGCAUCGUCGUAUUACUCUUGGCGUCCUUAUUUGUUCUUAAUAUCACCGAAGUACCUGCACUGUUUACGUUUCAUGAAUUGCUUACUGGUUUUGCAAUUUGUAUGGUUACAGCAGGCUAGCACUGCACCUAAGUAUCAGUAGUUCAGUAUUCACAUAAGCUAACUUACUGUUGUAGAAGGCUUCAACUAAUAGUAGCAUGAACAACCUAGGUCUAGCCAGAGUUGUGCUGUGAAAAGUAUUACGUACAAAUGAUAUGUUCAGAGUCUUAGCUUCACCUCAGCGUCAGUAAUUCAUUAUUCACCUGAGUCUACUUGUACGGUUGUAGCAAGCUUCACUAAAUCCAGUUUCAUGAACAAUCAAUUCUACGUAGUCUUGUGCUGUGAGCCUGACAAGCGAUUAUAUGCAAAUGAUCGAUGAACGCCGCGGUGUCUCCUUCUGCCGAUUCGUCCUCUGUGGGUUCCGCAUUGUCAGCGCCCUCUUGACUUUUCAUCCCCUCCCGCGGACCCUGGUCCUCGAUUGCACGUUCCCCACAGAUCUCGCGCUUGCCGUCGGGGCUCACCUUGCAGCGCCUCCAUCCUCCCUCUCCACCGUCACCUCUCUCUACCGACGAGCAUCCGUCCACCCAGAUGAGCGCUCUCACCCGCCGCCCUUGCCACCGCCUAUCUCCGCCCGUCCGCCACCCACAUCCUGCCCUGCCUACCCCAUCGCAUCCCUACCAAUCCCACCGACUACCAGCCGCCGCGAACCACAACGACCGGUGGUGGUAGCGCAACACGAACAACACCUGCCGUAGCGGCGGCAUCAGAUAGUGCAAGGGAAGCUCCCCGAGCGACGGGAUCCUCCUCAACCGUGGUCAGAUCAGCCUCACAUUACGGGAUCGACCUCCCCUAAGCCAGGUACUCAACCAUAGCAAACGUGAUUUGUUAGUAGCUCCCGCUGACUGCAUGCUGGCCCUCGCGCAUAACCGACAUCAUCAUGUGCGCUCCUGCAGGUAGCUGCUCUGGCAGGUGUCCGACACCGUGGCUAGGCGUGACAUGCUUCUCACAGAGGACAAGAUGAUGGUGGCAGUCUGGCAUAGGCGGUGCAGCGGGUUCCCUCAUCUAUUUUUUCUCAACUACGCCAAUACCCUAUGAAUCAUCCAUCCGUGAUUACAAGAACAACGUCGUAUGUAUAGCUCGGUGCGCUCACCAAGUUUGUGGAGCCAGCAGUGGCACGCUCCAGGUCUAGAUUGUACUAAUUGUGUGCGCCUGUGUGGAGGGGGGUGGCAGCGAGUCAGGGACGACUCCUAUCAUGUUUACAUGCUCGGUUUCACCUCAUCCCACGCUUAUGAGCAGCUCCUUGCAGCCUGAAACUCACCUAGGUAGAUUACUGAUGAUGGUGACUAGCUACCAGCCAUCUUCCAGGACUUGUGAGGACGUAAGCAAAAAACAUUUGUUUCCUUCGCUCAGGAUUUGCAUAUAGUUGGGUGAAAUAACCAUGAGAUCAACCAGUUGUGAUAGUGCUUACGCCCCUGCUACAAGUGUGAAGAUGCAGAUAUACAACCAUUACUUAAUGUGAUCAUUACUUGUACAGUACUGAUCCAUGGGCAAAUAGAGCACACACAGUAUGUGGUUCAGUGGUUGGUUGCUGACAGUUGUUGUUCAGAAGACUUAGCAUUGCUGAUAGCCCUGAUGGUGCAUUUCCUCUGUUUUUAGUAGUUUUAUGUUGCUAUAUAAUGGUUGUUGAUUACUAACUCCUAUGGGAUCUAUUUCACUCCAGGGUGCUGUCGAUGAAGGAAAAUAACCGAACAGAGGUAAGAUGAGAGCCUUUCGGAAAUGGAUAUACUUUCAAGCUUUAGCUAUUUUAUUGAGUUAAAUGUCAGUCAAGGUCUCUAAUAUAUGUUUGUCAUAAGCCUUCUCAAAAUAGGUUCAUAUAUAGAUGUGCGAUUUUUAAGCUUUCUGGUCGUCUUUGGCAGAUGAUGGCCCAGGUUUUCAUCCAUAACAAGGACUAAAAUAAGUAAAUGGUUAGUUUUAAUGCUACAUUAUUUCCUAUUAUUCAAAAAGAUCAGAUAUGUUCUAACUUAUGUAUUCCUGUAUGGAAGCCAUUUCACAAUAGAUCUAUGUAUUUAUUUUGGCUUCCACUACUAUCAAUUAUACCUGCUAAUUAAAAUACUUUACAGUGAGCUUGAUACCCGCCUCUAUCUUGCCCCCUGCCCCAGCCGCUCCUCCAUCUCGAGGUCCAACUCGCUCUCCAUCUUGCCCCAGCCCCAGCCGCCCCUCCAUCUCUAGGUCCACCCUCCUCCCGAGGCUGAUCCCCGAAGCACAACUCCGCCGUCCUCCUCGAAGCCGGAGAUUAGGAGCCACCACCCAAGCCGCCCCUCCAUCUCGAGGCAGGAGGACCCAGCAACAUCGACUAAAUCGAACAGAUUUGAUCCAUCUGCUCGCCACCUGUGGCUGACGCCUACGAUCAUGGAUGGAUAUGGUGCUCCAUUAGGGAAACAAUUCUUGCCUCUCAAACUUUCAGGUCCGAUAUCUCGAAAAAAUACUCUGUAUAACUUAAUCCCUUGGAACCCUAUCUCGAUGGUGCAAUAUUUUACAUGAUAGAUUUGCAUCAUAUGGAAACGCAUGGUGAUCAAAUCUGAAAAGAAUGCUUGUGUUUACUUCUCUAUAGUUUUUCUUUCACUCCUUAAUCCAUUUACCUCAUAUGAUUUGCAUCAUAUGGCGCUACAUUUUGUGUUAUGGUAUCAUUUUAAGCAAGAAUCUAUUUUUGAGAUUGAUUUGAUUUGCAGAUAACCUUUCUUCACUUAUUUUGAUACCAUGACAUGUUCAUAUGUUCAGUACAGUCUUGCUGAAACAGUGAUGUGAAUAGACAACAUGCCCAUGCUUGAUUUCAUUUUCUUUUCUUAGAACAUCACUGCACACUAUGUCAUUGACACUGAAGAACAUCACUUUAUUUGUAACAUCUCUAAACUUCUUCAUCAAAGAUGUGAAGAGAUUAUGUUCACUUGUGUGGAAGCAGGAGGUCCUGAGGACAAAGGUGGUUGGAGUUGAGGAUUCAAACACCGGAUGGCUUCAGCGGACGUCUCAAGCUGCCCAAGUUCUUGGCAGAUGUGUACGGUCACAUCAGUUCCUCGUCUACUCUCACAACAAUUACUACUGUUUUGCUUUUUUCGUGGAGACUGCUCAAAGCGAUAAUGAAUGUUGAUUAGAGAGUUGUCGUGUGCUGGCCAUUUUUUCAUGCAGCCUCAAUCAUCACUGAAUGCGGCCAAAAACAAACUCUAUUUGCUGCUGCCAUGGUUUAGGAAGAGUAUUUGUCUAUAGAAAGGUUCAGUUUGCGUCGCUUGAAGCUGAUGAAACUAAUUAAUAUCAGCUUUCAAAUGAUACAUGGUCUAUGGCCUUUGGUUCUGAAUAUUCUCCACAUGAUUAGUACUCAGAUGUCUAUUCCAAUAGUUGAUUUUUAUCACGGGGGAUGAUUAGAACAAAGGUUAAGAAUGGUUUGUCUACCUGAAAUAUUCUGUAUAUGUAGCAUACAUGUUAUCUAUACAGCUUUGUACUCAGAUGUCUAUUCAGUUACUUGAUUUAAAGCAUGUCUCUGAUGUUUAGUCUCUCCUCGUGUAUUUUCAGAACAGGCCUUGCUUGAAUGCCCUCCAACUGAAGUACUUUGUGGCAGUUCGAAGCAGUUUGUCCCAUGCGCGCAACCCAAUGCACAUGUCGUCGCUGAUGUCGCCAUGCCAGGGGUGAACGAGUUCCACACGGUUUCUCUUAAAUUUGUGGAAAUUGCGUCUCAAGGAAGGAGAUCGGGAAGCAUGCUGUCAACCAAUUCCUGUCCAGUUGUGUGCAUGGAAGUCCAGUUCCUUUUCCAAAGUGUAAGUUUGCAUUGUUCAUUGGACAAAUCCUAAACUCGUAAUACUACCUCUGGACUAAAUUAAUCAACGCAGCCUCCUUCUAAUGAUGUGCAUGGACAUACCUCCCUCCGCGUCGAUUAAAUCCGACAGGAGGGAGUAGUAUUUAACUUUCUGUAUAAUGGAAAUUAUUCCAAAGGGAGUUAAAAAAUGGGUGCAAGUGAUGAUUUAUGUCUAUUGUGUGCGUCAUAUCCAAGAAAUGCACUCAAAAGUUUAGCUUGAAGUAUAGUUUACCAAUUUCUUGUUUACAAUAAUUCAUUGAAAUUUUUGAUUUAGCUCAAACAAGCACUUGAAGAUAUAUUUUCCUGUAAGUAUAGAUGCUUCUGAGUUCCCCCCUCUUGUCCAGCAGCCAGUGCGCUUGUCCAAAUCUGGCGCUGAGUGCGAAGCUGGUUCGAUGAGCUAUGGUGUGAGGAGCAUAACCAAUAGAGACGCUGAAGGAGCUUGGCGGUCGCAAUCACAACCAAAGAAGGCUAUGACAACGACGACACAUCUGGCGACACUCAGAGUGAGACGAUGUGAUCUGAGUGUUUUAAGAGCUAGAUCGUAAGAAAUUACCUCUGCUUAGGAAGUAUUCCCGUAUCAAUAAUUUACCGAUGCUCUAUGUAUCAUUGAACAGGUUUAAUCUAGACUUAUGCUAGCAUCGCCCGAAGCUGCCAAUGAUGAUGAUUAUGAUAUAGUUUUUGGGGUCAUUGGAUCAUGAGUGGUGAUGAUCCACUAUUGACAUAGUGCAGUUGCAAAGUUUAGGUGUAUAUUUCCUGAGACAUGAUCCUUUCCUUUUGUUGCUUACUUGUCGAGAUGUAAGUGUUUGGUUCAUAUAUCAUUGAUCCUUUGUUUUUUCGGGAGACAUGAUUAAUGCUUAGCUGACCACAUUUUUGUUCA